UUGGAUGGAGACCUUCCAUUGACGGCCAUCCUCUUUCCUUUCUAGGGGCGGUUCUGGAACGAUGUUCUUCCUCUGAGACAGAUGGCUUGGAGGGUUUUAGUUGCGGUGAAGAGAGAGCUUGAGUUCUUUUCCCUUCCUCCUCCAACUAGUUCUAGUUUUUUGUUUACUUUGCUCCUUUUUGGAAAAGCUGUUCUCCUGUUGCUAUUGCUUAGUGGAUUUAAGACUGCAGCCUUGCAUAAAUCUGUGUUAUGUUUGUGAAGACCAGAAGAACAAUUCCUCAACUUCAUUUAUUCAAAAAGUAUAUGAGAAGCUUACAAAGGCCCUGUGAUUAUAAAGUUCCCCAGGAGGAAAGACCCAGGCAAGGGAGCCCAUAGUGAAGUAGCAACAGCCUGCAGUGUGGAACCAGAUGUGCUGGACUUUUUAUGAUCUUUGACGUUCAAAACAAAACAAAAAUUAUCAUCAGAGACAAUGCGUGGACACAAAAGCUGCAACCCAGCAGAUUGAUUUUCAUUAUGGUUGCAGAGUUGCUGUGUCUGCCAAGGAGCAACAUGAUGUAUGCUGAGUUGGAUUUAGGAGGAAAGGAGAUGGGAGCUCUUCAGGAGGAAACAGACCAAAGCAAGGAUAUCCAUUGAACAAAAAUGGAAAACUGUAAAUGAUCUUACGAUUCCUUUAUGGUCUAAAAAUGUCUGGAACAUUGCCAUCCUUGAAAAGAUAACACAUAAUAGAAGACUUUUGCAGGGGAAGGAAAAACUCCAAACCUUCUAAGCUAUGUAGUGUUAUUUUAUUUUAUAUGCUAGCAAUAACAAUAGUCAGUGCUGCCUCCUGACAAUUCCCCUAGAAGUGUGAAAUGCUUGAUUUUAUGAAAUUAUUGAAAUUAUUUAAACUGUUUGAUAUGCCGCCCAGCUUUUGUUGGAGUAAUGUGAACUUUUUCUUUGUUAAACUGUAUACCCCCUGGAAAGCCUGUCGUUUGCUUUAUUAUGUCUUCCUUCCUUCCUUCCUUUCUU